rnacentral:rRNA from 1 species
CCCUUAGAUGUUCUGGGCCGCACGCGUGCUACACUGAUUAUUUCAACAAGUGUUUUAACUGGAGAGUUCGCGUAAUCCUGAAAUGUUAUCGUGAUGGGAGUAGAGUAUUGUAUUUGUUAAUCUUUAACGAGGAAUUCCUAGUAAGUGUAGGUUUAUAAGUUGUUCUGAUUACGUCCCUGCCCUUUGUACACACCGCCCGUCGCUCCUACCGAUUGAUUGAUCCGGUGAAUUACAUAGAAUUUUGCGUUUUACAUGACGGAAGACGAAGUGUUUUAAACCUUAUCAUUUAGAGGAAGGAGAAGUCGUAACA